rnacentral:rRNA from 1 species
AGUGAACGCUGGCGGUAGGCCUAUCACAUGCAAGUCGAACGGCAGCACAGUAAGAGCUUGCUCUUACGGGUGGCGAGUGGCGGACGGGUGAGGAAUACAUCGGAAUCUACUUUUUCGUGGGGGAUAACGUAGGGAAACUUACGCUAAUACCGCAUACGACCUACGGGUGAAAGCAGGGGAUCUUCGGACCUUGCGCGAUUGAAUGAGCCGAUGUCGGAUUAGCUAGUUGGCGGGGUAAAGGCCCACCAAGGCGACGAUCCGUAGCUGGUCUGAGAGGAUGAUCAGCCACACUGGAACUGAGACACGGUCCAGACUCCUACGGGAGGCAGCAGUGGGGAAUAUUGGACAAUGGGCGCAAGCCUGAUCCAGCCAUACUGCGUGGGUGAAGAAGGCCUUCGGGUUGUAAAGCCCUUUUGUUGGGAAAGAAAAGCAGCAGGUUAAUACCCCGCUGUUCUGACGGUACCCAAAGAAUAAGCACCGGCUAACUUCGUG